rnacentral:tRNA from 1 species
CCUGAUGGCUCAGAUGGUAAAGAAUCUGCUUGCAAUGCAGGAGACCCGGGUUCGAUCCCUGGGUCAGGA